GAGACCCCAAGUGGGAGUCUCAGCCGUAGACCUGCUGGCAGCUGUAGCCGGCAGCUGGGUGGAAGAAGACAAAACCUGCUGCCAGCAAGAGCUCAUCCACUGCCUCAUCCCCGUCCUCUUCCACCUGAGGGACUAGCACCCUUCAGUGCACAAAAAAGCCAGAUAUACGUUCUUCUGUUUGGCCCAGAGCGUCGGCUGGAGGUACAGCCAAGUAGUCGGGAGAACGCUGAUUGGGGAAGAGAGGGAGAGCACGGCCUACGCUACCAUCUGGCAGGCCUUGAUGGAGAGCUUCGAGCAAAGUCAUCCCAUUUUCUGGUCCCAAGCUCUUGGCAUAUAUGAACUGCCCCCCGCCAGAUGUGAAAUUUGCGGCCGUUGUCUUCCUCAUACACACCAUCGCCAUCAUCCGCAAAAGCCCGCGAUUCUCCGAAGCAGACUUGGAUAUCUUCUUCAAUAAUCCGCCGAUUCCUGAGGUUUCUCAAGAGGAACCUGCCAGAGAACGAUGACCUCUUCUUCUUCUGAGGGCUCCAAUCCUGUGGGAGAAGAAGAAGCCUGGGAGGACGAGUGGUGUCAGACUGCUCGUAGGGUUCCCCGUCUGCAGCAGUGGGGGCUGCCUUGGGACAUGCCAUGGGUUCAGGGCCCAGAAGAAUGUAGUGGAUCCGGCCGCCAGACAGCCAUGUAAGGGAAGGGGGCUCAAGGGGCCAGGGGCCAGAUUGGGGCCAGAAUUGCAUUCCAGACUGGGAAUUUGAUACCAUAGCAGGAGGAGGAGGAGGAGGACG